AGAGUGAACGCUGGCGGCAGGCCUAACACAUGCAAGUCGAGCGGCAGCGCAGCAGUAGCAAUACUGUGGGCGGCGAGCGGCGGACGGGUGAGGAACACAUCGGAAUCUACCCUGUCGUGGGGGACAACGUAGGGAAACUUACGCUAAUACCGCAUACGACCUUUGGGUGAAAGUGGGGGACUCGCAAGAGCCUCACGCGAUUGGAUGAGCCGAUGUCCGAUUAGCUAGUUGGCGGGGUAAUGGCCCACCAAGGCGACGAUCGGUAGCUGGUCUGAGAGGACGACCAGCCACACUGGAACUGAGACACGGUCCAGACUCCUACGGGAGGCAGCAGUGGGGAAUAUUGGACAAUGGGGGCAACCCUGAUCCAGCCAUGCCGCGUGGGUGAAGAAGGCCUUCGGGUUGUAAAGCUCUGUCGGAGGGGAAGAACACAAUGACGGUACCUCCAAGAAGCCCGGCUAACUACGUGCCAGCAGCCGC
rnacentral:rRNA from 1 species